rnacentral:rRNA from 1 species
UUGCAGUUAAAAAGCUCGUAGUUGGAUUUCGGUUAAGAGCGACCGGUCCGCCGUUUGGUGUGCACUGGUUGGUUUUAACUUCCUGUAGAGGACGUGCUCUGGGCUUAACGGUCUGGACUCGGAGUCUACGUGGUUACUUUGAAAAAAUUAGAGUGUUCAAAGCGGGCUUACGCUUGAAUAUUUCAGCAUGGAAUAACACUAUAGGACUCCUGUCCUAUUUCGUUGGUCUCGGGACGGGAGUAAUGAUUAAGAGGAACAGUUGGGGGCAUUCGUAUUUCAUUGUCAGAGGUGAAAUUCUUGGAUUUAUGAAAGACGAACUUCUGCGAAAGCAUUUGCCAAGGAUGUUUUCAUUAAUCAAGAACGAAAGUUGGGGGCUCGAAGAUGAUUAGAUACCAUCCUAGUCUCAACCAUAAACGAUGCCGACUAGGGAUUGGCGGAUGUUAAUUGAUGACUCCGCCAGCACCUUAUGAGAAAUCAAAGUUUUUGGGUUCCGGGGGGAGUAUGGUCGCAAGGCUGAAACUU